rfam:Mesocricetus auratus contig127428, whole genome shotgun sequence.
GGAGAGGUGGCUCAAUGGUUAAGAGCACUGGCUGGUCUUCCAGAGGUCCUGCGUUCAAUUCCCAGCCACCACA